GCAAGCCUGACGGAGCAACGCCGCGUGAGGGAUGGAGGCCUUUGGGCUGUAAACCUCUUUUCUCAAGGAAGAAGAUCUGACGGUACUUGAGGAAUAAGCCACGGCUAAUUCCGUGCCAGCAGCCGCGGUAAUACGGGAGUGGCAAGCGUUAUCCGGAAUUAUUGGGCGUAAAGCGUCCGCAGGCGGCCGUUUAAGUCUGUUGUUAAAUCGUAGAGCUCAACUCUAUCACGGCAAUGGAAACUGUUCGGCUUGAGUAUGGUAGGGGCAGAGGGAAUUUCCGGUGUAGCGGUGAAAUACGUAGAUAUCGGGAAGAACACCAGUGGCAAAAGCGCUCUGCUGGGCCAUUACUGACGCUCAUGGGCGAAAGCCAGGGGAGCGAAAGGGAUUAGAUACCCCUGUAGUCCUGGCCGUAAACGAUGAACACUAGAUGUUGGGGGAAUCGACCCCCUCAGUGUCGUAGCUAACGCGUUAAGUGUUCCGCCUGGGGAGUACGCACGCAAGUGUGAAACUCAAAGGAAUUGACGGGGGCCCGCACAAGCGGUGGAGUAUGUGGUUUAAUUCGAUGCAACGCGAAGAACCUUACCAAGGCUUGACAUCCUGCGAAUCUCUAAGAAAUUAGAGAGUGCCUUCGGGAACGCAGUGACAGGUGGUGCAUGGCUGUCGUCAGCUCGUGUCGUGAGAUGUUGGGUUAAGUCCCGCAACGAGCGCAACCCACGUUUUUAGUUGCCAGCAUUCAGUUGGGCACUCUAAAGAGACUGCCGGUGACAAACCGGAGGAAGGUGUGGACGACGUCAAGUCAUCAUGCCCCUUACGCCUUGGGCUACACACGUACUACAAUGCUGCGGACAAAGAGUAGCGAUCUUGCGAAAGUUAGCUAAUCUCGUAAACCGUGGCUCAGUUCAGAUCGUAGGCUGCAACUCGCCUACGUGAAGGAGGAAUCGCUAGUAAUCGCAGGUCAGCAUACUGCGGUGAAUACGUUCCCGGGCCUUGUACACACCGCCCGUCACACCAUGGAAGUUGGCC
rnacentral:rRNA from 1 species